UAACUAGCCUUCUAGUGAAA
rnacentral:miRNA from 1 species